CUAAUACCGGAUAAUAUUUUGAACCGCAUGGUUCAAAAGUGAAAGACGGUCUUGCUGUCACUUAUAGAUGGAUCCGCGCUGCAUUAGCUAGUUGGUAAGGUAACGGCUUACCAAGGCAACGAUGCAUAGCCGACCUGAGAGGGUGAUCGGCCACACUGGAACUGAGACACGGUCCAGACUCCUACGGGAGGCAGCAGUAGGGAAUCUUCCGCAAUGGGCGAAAGCCUGACGGAGCAACGCCGCGUGAGUGAUGAAGGUCUUCGGAUCGUAAAACUCUGUUAUUAGGGAAGAACAUAUGUGUAAGUAACUGUGCACAUCUUGACGGUACCUAAUCAGAAAGCCACGGCUAACUACGUGCCAGCAGCCGCGGUAAUACGUAGGUGGCAAGCGUUAUCCGGAAUUAUUGGGCGUAAAGCGCGCGUAGGCGGUUUUUUAAGUCUGAUGUGAAAGCCCACGGCUCAACCGUGGAGGGUCAUUGGAAACUGGAAAACUUGAGUGCAGAAGAGGAAAGUGGAAUUCCAUGUGUAGCGGUGAAAUGCGCAGAGAUAUGGAGGAACACCAGUGGCGAAGGCGACUUUCUGGUCUGUAA
rnacentral:rRNA from 1 species